rnacentral:lncRNA from 1 species
UUUCUUUGUAUCUGUCUCAGGCUUCUGUACCACCUGCAAGUUCUGCAGUUAAAGACUCACCUUCAUCUAGCACAAAGGAGGACUCAGAAAAUGGAGAAAUAUCCACUGACAAGCAGGAUGAGGAAAAAACUACUCUUGGAGAUGCGUUGUCCAUGAACCGGGCUUCAGAAGCAUCUCCAACAUCUGUUGAAGAGCUUCAGAAUCUUGCAGGAGGAGCGGAUAUUAAGGUAGUGAAAUUGGACUGGAUACUUUUUAAUCCUUCCAUCAGGACAAUCUGAACGGUUAUAUAUUUCAUUAGUUAGCUCUAAUACGAUGUUCCAUUUUGAAGGGGUUGGAGGCCGUUCUUGACAAGGCUGUUGAACUUGAGGAUGGAAAGAAAGUUUCAGGGUAGGUUGAACUUUAAAUUGUGUUUAGCACUUACUCAUAUCCAGAAUAUUACUUCCUUGCAUCAUUCCUAGUGACAUGUUAAGAGGUGGCAGUAACUUACUACCUUUGCCUCCCUUUCCUCUCUUUUCCAGCGGAAUUGACCUGGAUACAAUGAACAUAAUUCAGCGGGAUGCACUAUUGCUUUUUAGGACUCUUUGCAAGGUUAGUGUUUCUAUUGAAUGGCCUACAUGAUGUUACUUUUAUCAGACUUGACUAGACUAUUCCCUGCAAAAGGAGACUUGGCUAGAGUAUCACAUGUUCAUCUUUCACCUUUUUUUUCUUCUCAUCCUCCUAGAUGAGCAUGAAAGAAGAAAGUGAUGAGGUUGCUACCAAGACAAGGCUGCUGUCACUUGAACUGUUGCAGGUUAGUGUACAUCGUGGAGGUUGUUAAUAUUUUUUUUCUUUGUUUAGAUGAUAUCUUCUGAUUCUUUUAUCUGCAGGGAUUGUUAGAAGGAGUCAGUGAUUCGUUUGCCAAAAAUUUCCACUUCAUUGAUUCAGUUAAAGCAUACCUUUCCUACGCUCUUCUCCGGGCAUCUGUGUCUUCAUCUCCAGUUGUUUUUCAGGUCAUUUUUAUAAUUUUUUCCCUUGUGAUGCAUACCCUUGUGGCAUGAUUAUAUUGAUAGAUUCUUCUAUAAUUUUAAACCAGCUUUUCUUGUUUGGCAGUACGCUACCGGAAUAUUUUCAGUUCUUCUGCUUCGGUUUAGAGAGAGUCUCAAGGUAAAAUUUCUAUCAGAAGAACUUACAUUUUUUGCAGCAUUGAAUUUCUUCUGGUAUCCUGACCUUUUUUUUUGAAAUACUAUGCAGGGAGAAAUUGGUGUUUUCUUUCCUUUGAUAGUCUUAAGGUCUCUAGAUAGCUCUGAUAGCUCCCUUAGUCAGAAGUCCAGUGUCCUUAGGUGAUGCCUCUUUCUUUAUGGAACCUUAUCUUGGUGCAUAAUGCAUAAACAUACAAUGCGUUUGAUCCAAUUUUGUCUUCUUUAUCUUUUAUUUGUUUUGCUGACAUAGAUCAUCUUCCUGCCCAUAUAUGUCUGAUGUUGUUCAAUUGACUUGUUUUUCAAUUAGAAUGCUGGAAAAAGUCUGCAAAGACUCACAGAUGCUUGCGGAUAUGUUUGUAAAUUAUGAUUGUGACAUUGACGGGCCAAACCUUUUUGAACGCAUGGUAAGUACAAGGAAGAUUGUUUUGUAACCACAGGGGACUGGCAUAUCCUCAAGUUUGUCGACUUGUGAGUUGUGUAUCUGAUUGUUCGUAUACUUCUUAUCAGGUUAGUGCUCUUUCAAGAAUUGCACAUGGAUCUCAAAGUGCUGAUAGUGCUGCAGUUGCUUCAUCGCAGACAGUUUCUGUAAAAGGAUCAUCUAUUCAGGUUACUAUUAUUCUGAUUACUCAAAAAUUCUUCGCAUUUUCUUAUGUGACACUAAUAUCACACAUAAAUCUGAAUCGCAGUGCUUGGUCAGUAUUUUGAAGUCAUUGGUUGAUUGGGAGCAAGCUCGAAGAGAUUCCUCAAAUCAUGGGAGCGUUGCCGAAUCUCAUGAUGAUGGUGCUUCUGCAAGGAGCUUGGCAACUGAUGAGACGAAGGUCCAAGAGGAUGGUCGCAAUCAGUUUGAGAGAGCUAAAGCUCACAAAUCAACAAUGGAGGCUGCAAUUUCAGAGGUGGGAGGCUUGCUGUUAUUAUUUGGCUUCCUUUACCUGAUGAUACUUCACAAAUACAUGUAAAUGGUUGUACCAAACCUGUUGUCCUAGUUUUGUCUCACUGCACUACUGAUUGUAACUGGCCCUUUCGCCCCUUCUAUAUUACAGUUCAAUCGCAAGCCAGCAAAGGGGGUCGAGUAUUUAUUGUCAAAUAAGUUGAUUGAAAAUAAGGCAUCAUCUGUAGCUCAGUUUCUCAAGAGCAAUGCCAGCUUGGAUAAGGUGAUUUCAUGGAAUUUAAUGUUCUUUGUGCUGUUGCAGUUAUUGGUCAGAGCGAUGUGGCUACCCACUAACUUUGAUGAGCUGUAACUUUGCAGGUAAUGAUUGGUGAAUAUUUGGGACAGCAUGAGGAAUUUCCCCUUGCUGUGAUGCAUGCUUAUGUCGAUUCCAUGAAGUUUUCGGGGUUGAAGUUUGAUGCCGCAAUUCGCGAGUUCCUCAAAGGAUUUCGCCUUCCUGGGGAGGCACAAAAGAUUGAUCGCAUAAUGGAAAAAUUUGCUGAGCGGUAUGCAUUUGUAGAAUCUUAAUACAGUUUUUCUUUGACAUUUUCUAUUGUGGUCCUCAAAUAAUUAUGUGAUGACUUGCAGGUACUGUGCUGAUAACCCCGGGCUCUUUAAAAAUGCAGAUACUGCUUAUAUUCUUGCUUAUGCUGUUAUAAUGUUAAAUACUGAUGCACAUAAUCCAAUGGUAUGGCCUAAGAUGUCAAAAUCAGAUUUCGUACGUUUGAACACUGCAAGUGAUGAAGAGGAAUGUGCUCCUAAGGAGCUCUUGGAGGAACUUUAUGAUUCAAUUAUCAAUGAAGAGAUAAAGAUGAAAGAUGAUCUUCAUGCGGCAAAAACUAGUAAAGUAAGACCUGAAAUAGAAGAAAAGGGUCGCCUCGUCAAUAUCCUCAAUUUAGCUCUCCCAAGACUGAAAUCAGCAAGUGAUACAAAGGCAGAAAGUGAAAAAAUUAUUAAGCAGACCCAAGCAGUUUUCAAAAACCAGGGACAGAAGAGGGGUGUUUUUCAUGUUGCUCAGCAGGUUGAGCUUGUUAGACCAAUGGUCGAGGCUGUAGGAUGGCCUUUGCUUGCAACAUUUUCUGUAACUAUGGAGGAAGGUGACAACAAGCCUAGGGUUGUAUUGUGCAUGGAAGGGUUUAAGGCUGGUAUUCAUCUUACUCGUGUUCUUGGGAUGGAGACCAUGCGCUAUGCUUUCUUGACAUCCUUAGUGAGGUAAGAAAAUUAACCCUUUCUAUUUAUGAAUAUGCAUUGUUUAUUUCUUUAUUUUUCCCAUUUAAUUAUAUGGAUGUAAUGGUGUCUUUUCCUUCAUUAACCUUUUGCAGGUUUACAUUUCUGCAUGCUCCCAAGGAAAUGCGUAGUAAAAAUGUUGAGGCAUUGCGAACUCUCCUUGCCUUAGCUGACACGGAUAUGGAUGCUUUGCAAGAUGCUUGGAAUGCUGUUUUAGAAUGUGUCUCAAGACUCGAGUAUAUCACUUCAGUUCCUUCAAUGGCCGCAACUGUUAUGCAGGGAUCAAAUCAAAUAUCAAGGGAUUCUGUAGUUCAGUCACUGAAAGAGUUGUCGGGGAAGCCUGCUGAACAAGUGUUUGUAAACAGUGUAAAACUACCAAGUGAUUCUAUUGUUGAAUUCUUCGAUGGUCUAUGUACUAUUUCUGCUGAAGAACUUAAACAGACACCUCCUCGUGUCUUCAGCUUGCAAAAGCUUGUUGAAAUAAGCUACUACAAUAUGGCACGGAUACGUUUGGUAUGCUUUUGUCUAUCAUUGUUUGCAUUAUGCUUCCUAUUGUUCUCUUAGCAAUUCUUGUGUUAUUUCAUGAGACUUAAUUUUCAGUGACAUAGUGAAGAGAUAAAUAAGUAGGUCGAAAUUGCUUACUUUCUUACUAUUAUAUGCCAUUGUAGAGGAUGCUUCAUUGAAUCAGGCAAUAUCUUCAUUCUGUGAGAAAGAUUUUUUAUUUUUUAUUCAAAGAAGAACUAACAUAAUUUUAUAUUAUGUUAGAAAGGCCUGCUUAUUUUUCAUUGAGAGCAUUAUGGGGGCAGGGGAGAGUUGAGACUGGUUUAUUCAGAAUUGUUUUUGUUUAGCCAUUGGCCAUUGGCCAUUCAGUUUAUGCCCAUGUAAACUAUAGAAUGACCCUAAUUUCUAAAUAUAUGAAGUUGUGGAUAUGCACCUAAUUGGUGAGCGUCCUUGAAUUUUACUCAACUGAGAGCCUGAACACCUAAUUUUUCAAGUUCUUCUGGAUGAAGGGAUGCACCCCUACCUGAUUUUUUUAAGAAAUAUGCUGUUUUACUGAAAUAUACAAUCGAACUGGGUACAAUCUACUGGAAUCUCUAGGGCGUGCUGAAAUCACAAUUUACUAUAUAAUUGGAGGUGAUUACCGGGUACCACUGCAAACAGGUUCAGUAGGGUUUAUUUACCAUUCUGUUUAGGGUCGCCGUGUUCAGCCAAUUGUCAGAUGGCCAUCUUUCCCUUCAAGAAAAAAUAGGAAAAUAAAAAGAAAAUCACUGUGCUGAGGAAUUUUAUCAAUAACUUGAUGGAGAUGGGCCUGCGAUUGUGUGCGGAGUGAGCAGAUACAGCAGCAUAUGCAGCCACCUCAGGUACAGUCUUGGAGGGUUGGUUUCUGGCUCGGCAGGAGAUAGGGGGCCACACCUGGGUUCAGCCCUUUCUGUGGUAUACCACAUGUGCACUGGGAAUGAUGUGCAGCAGUGGAGCGAGCACAUGUGAAUGGUCUGCGUAGGGGGGAUGGCGUCCCAAUUAAGUGGGGGAGAAAAAGUAAACUUCAUAGAAAAUGCGUGGGGAAAGUUUGGGCCUUUCUCAAAUAUAUGUUUGGCAAGUGGUAGAAAACGCCAUAGCUUAUGUGAAGCAGCACAAAGUUGUGGAUGAGCAACUUCACCUUGCUGCUACAAUGUGUGCAGCACAAGUGUUGAAGGAACAACUUCAACGUGCUGCGCUAGAUAUUGCUCUAGAGGCGAAUAUAGGCCGAUAGGGCAGCAGGAGUUCAAUCCAAAACUCAUAGAACGCUAGAUCUAGUCCAAGAUCUUAGAUAAGAACACCAAGUUCUAUUAUAGGCAGUGGGGGUACAUAGUCUCCCUACAAACUAGAGGUGAGGACCUCUAUUUAUAGGGCUUUGGGAAGCCUACACAUACUUCUACUUAUGGCUA